GCGAGUGUAGGCUAAUUGGUAGACUGGGAAUCUCCAAAAUUCUCCGAUCUUCGUUCGAAUCGAAGCGCUCGUGCCA
rnacentral:tRNA from 1 species